AACUUACACAUGCAAGCAUCCUCAUCCCAGUGAGAAUGCCCUCCAGGUCAAUAAGACUAAGAGGAGCUGGUAUCAAGCACACACUCGUAGCUCACGACACCUUGCUUAACCACACCCCCACGGGAAACAGCAGUGAUAAAAAUUAAGCCAUAAACGAAAGUUUGACUAAGUUAUGUUAAUUAGGGUUGGUAAAUUUCGUGCCAGCCACCGCGGCCAUACGAUUAACCCAAGCUAACAGGAAUACGGCGUAAAACGUGUUUAAGCACCACACCAAAUAGAGUUAAAUUUUAAUUAAGCUGUAAAAAGCCAUAAUUACUGUAAAAAUAAAUAACGAAAGUGACUCUACAACAGCUGACACACCAUAGCUAAGACCCAAACUGGGAUUAGAUACCCCACUAUGCUUAGCCCUAAACACAGAUAAUUAUAUAAACAAAAUUAUUCGCCAGAGUACUACUAGCAAUAGCUUAAAACUCAAAGGACUUGGCGGUGCUUCAUAUCCCUCUAGAGGAGCCUGUUCUAUAAUCGAUAAACCCCGAUAAACCUCACCAAUUCUUGCUAAUACAGUCUAUAUACCGCCAUCUUCAGCAAACC
rnacentral:rRNA from 1 species